UACAGGGGGGGCAAGCGUUGUUCGGAAUUACUGGGCGUAAAGGGUCUGUAGGUGGCCAACUAAGUCAGACGUGAAAUCCCUCAGCUUAACUGGGGAACUGCGUCUGAUACUGGAUGGCUUGAGUGUGGGAGAGGAAUGCGGAAUUCCAGGUGUAGCGGUGAAAUGCGUAGAUAUCUGGAGGAACACCGGUGGCGAAGGCGGCAUUCUGGACCAUAACUGACACUGAGAGACGAAAGCCAGGGGAGCAAACGGGG
rnacentral:rRNA from 1 species